CUAUACUGCAAGUCGAGCGAUGAUAGAGAAGCUUGCUUCUCUUGAUUUAGCGGCGGACGGGUGAGUAACACGUGGGUAACCUACCUUAUAGUUUGGGAUAACUCCGGGAAACCGGGGCUAAUACCGAAUAACCUAUUUCACUUCAUGGUGAGAUACUAAAAGACGGUUUCGGCUGUCGCUAUAAGAUGGGCCCGCGGCGCAUUAGCUAGUUGGUGAGGUAAUGGCUCACCAAGGCAACGAUGCGUAGCCGACCUGAGAGGGUGAUCGGCCACACUGGGACUGAGACCCGGCCCAUACUCCUACGGGAGGCAGCAGUAGGGAAUCUUCCACAAUGGACGAAA
rnacentral:rRNA from 1 species